rnacentral:rRNA from 1 species
AGUGAACGCUGGCGGUAGGCCUAACACAUGCAGGUCGAACGGCAGCACAGUAAGAGCUUGCUCUUACGGGUGGCGAGUGGCGGACGGGUGAGGAAUACAUCGGAAUCUACUUUUUCGUGGGGGAUAACGUAGGGAAACUUACGCUAAUACCGCAUACGACCUACGGGUGAAAGCAGGGGAUCUUCGGACCUCGCGCGAUUGAAUGAGCCGAUGUCGGAUUAGCUAGUUGGCGGGGUAAAGGCCCACCAAGGCGACGAUCCGUAGCUGGUCUGAGAGGAUGAUAAGCCACACUGGAACUGAGACACGGUCCAGACUCCUACGGGAGGCAGCAGUGGGGAAUAUUGGACAAUGGGCGCAAGCCUGAUCCAGCCAUACCGCGUGGGUGAAGAAGGCCUUCGGGUUGUAAAGCCCUUUUGUUGGGAAAGAAAAGCAGCAGGUUAAUACCCCGCUGUUCUGACGGUACCCAAAGAAUAAGCACCGGCUAACUUCGUG